rnacentral:rRNA from 1 species
GCUUAACACAUGCAAGUCGCACGGUCGGGCUUCGGCCUGGCAGUGGCGGACGGGUGAGUAACGCGUAGGUAUCUAUCCUUGGGUGGGGGAUAACCGUGGGAAACUACGGCUAAUACCGCAUGACACCUGUGGGUCAAAGGCGCAAGUCGCCUGAGGAGGAGCCUGCGUCCGAUUAGCUAGUUGGUGGGGUAAAGGCCUACCAAGGCGACGAUCGGUAGCUGGUCUGAGAGGAUGAUCAGCCACACUGGGACUGAGACACGGCCCAGACUCCUACGGGAGGCAGCAGUGGGGAAUAUUGGACAAUGGGCGCAAGCCUGAUCCAGCAAUGCCGCGUGGGUGAAGAAGGUUUUCGGAUUGUAAAGCCCUUUCGGCGGGGACGAUGAUGACGGUACCCGCAGAAGAAGCCCCGGCUAACUUCGUGCCAGCAGCCGCGGUAAUACGAAGGGGGCUAGCGUUGUUCGGAAUUACUGGGCGUAAAGGGCGCGUAGGCGGUGUGUCAAGUCAGGCGUGAAAGCCCCGGGCUCAACCUGGGAACCGCGCUUGAGACUGGCACGCUAGAGUUCGGGAGAGGAUGGUGGAAUUCCCAGUGUAGAGGUGAAAUUCGUAGAUAUUGGGAAGAACACCGAUGGCGAAGGCAGCCAUCUGGACCGACACUGACGCUGAGGCGCGAAGGCGUGGGGAGCAGACAGGAUUAGAUACCCUGGUAGUCCACGCCGUAAACGUUGGGCACUAGGUGUGGGUCCUUAUCAACGGGAUCCGUGCCGUAGCUAACGCAUUAAGUGCCCCGCCUGGGGAGUACGGCCGCAAGG